GAUGAACGCUGGCGGCGUGCCUAAUACAUGCAAGUCGAGCGGAAAGGCCCUUCGGGGUACUCGAGCGGCGGACGGCUGAGUAACGCGUAGGAACGUACCCCAAAGUGAGGGAUAACUGCUCGAAAGAGUAGCUAAUACCGCAUGUGCUCUUCGGAGUAAAGCUUAGGCGCUUUGGGAACGGCCUGCGUCCUAUUAGCUAGUUGGUGAGGUAAUUGCUCACCAAGGCGACGAUAGGUAGCUGGUCUGAGAGGAUGAUCAGCCAGACUGGGACUGAGACACGGCCCAGACUCCUACGGGAGGAAGCAGUAGGGAAUUUUCCACGAUGGGCGAAGGCCUGAUGGAGCAACGCCGCGUGCAGGCUGAAUGCCUUCGGGUUGUAAACUGCUUUUAUAGGUGAAGAAUAUGACGGUAACCUAUGAAUAAGGAUCGGCUAACUCCGUGCCAGCCGCCGCGGUAA
rnacentral:rRNA from 1 species